rnacentral:lncRNA from 1 species
AGCCGCCGGCGCUCGGCCGCCGGCAGGACCUGAUGCGCAUCCAUAUUAGCGCGUCCGCGAGCGGGCAGCCGGCCAGCCCCCCGCCGCCCCGGCCCGCCGCGGCGUUUAUUUUUAACCCGCACCCGCCGGCCCUCGGAUGGUGCGCGCACCGCCCGCCAGAGACAUCUUCCCAGCGCUGCUCUCCAUCUUCCGCCUCUCUCCCCCAACAUCCCUCCCCCCCCCCCCCCGCCUGUGGGAGGGGAAACUUUGCUCCUACAUACUUUCGAGUCACUCGGGCCGGGAGCGCGGAGAUGACGGCGCCCGCCGCAAGGAUCCUGAAGGGAGAACUCACGCAGAAGACCCAAGAGCAAACAGGUGCAAAGUCUUGCAAUAGCUCCAAGCGGCUGGUUCCUGACUGCUUCUGAAACAGCUUCUCAGUGUCAACAAGUGAUACCAGGAGAAGAAAAAAGGAAGUAGACACAGACUCAUUUCCUUACUACAUGUGGAUAAUAGCUAGAGCCGGGGAGAUCUCCAUAGUUUAUCAGUUGGGGCAGAAAAUGGAGGUAAUUGGCAGUGGGAGAGGGUGGGGAGGGGGGAUUUUCUUCUUUCCAUUUUCUGGGUUCAGCCAGGUAUAUUACCUGCUCGUAUCUUUUAAGAGUCAGACUUUUAAACGUUAGUUUGGAAGUUGGUUGUAGUACUGGGAGAGUUGACUUCUCAACUGUCAUAAAAAUUUGGGCUCCCUGUUCAAAUCACUAUAUUGCAGCAGUGGAGUUAAGUGGAAACUGAAGGGCUCAUCAUUAGUUUAUAAGUCUAGAACAUUCCUGUAGUAUAAAUGACCGUAUGUUAUUUGGGGGGUGCCGGCCACCUGGCCACUCCCUGGUUUCCAAAUUGUCGGUUUGGCCUCUCCCAACUCUGCUUAAUGAAAGGCAAAGAAAUCUGUC